rnacentral:rRNA from 1 species
AUUGAACGCUGGCGGCAGGCCUAACACAUGCAAGUCGAGCGGAUGAAGGGAGCUUGCUCCUGGAUUCAGCGGCGGACGGGUGAGUAAUGCCUAGGAAUCUGCCUGGUAGUGGGGGAUAACGUCCGGAAACGGGCGCUAAUACCGCAUACGUCCUGAGGGAGAAAGUGGGGGAUCUUCGGACCUCACGCUAUCAGAUGAGCCUAGGUCGGAUUAGCUAGUUGGUGGGGUAAAGGCCUACCAAGGCGACGAUCCGUAACUGGUCUGAGAGGAUGAUCAGUCACACUGGAACUGAGACACGGUCCAGAAUCCCACGGGAGGCAGCAGUGGGGAAUAUUGGACAAUGGGCGAAAGCCUGAUCCAGCCAUGCCGCGUGUGUGAAGUAGGUUUUCGGAUUUUAAAGCACUUUAAGUUGGGAGGAAGGGCAGUAAGUUAAUACCUUGCUUUUUUGACGUUACCAACAAAAUAAGCACCGGCUAACUUCGU